CAGCCGCCGCGGUAAAACCAGCACCUCAAGUGGUCAGGAUGAUUAUUGGGCCUAAAGCAUCCGUAGCCUGCUUUGUUAGUUUUCGGUUAAAUCCAUACGCUCAACGUAUGGGCUGCCGGGAAUACUGCAAAGCUGGGGAGUGGGAGAGGUAGACGGUACUCGGUAGGAAGGGGUAAAAUCCUUUGAUCUAUUGAUGACCACCUGUGGCGAAGGCGGUCUACCAGAACACGUCCGACGGUGAGGGAUGAAAGCUGGGGGAGCAAACCGGAUUAGAUACCCGGGUAGUCCCAGCUGUAAACUAUGCAAACUCAGUGAUGCAUUGGCUUGAUGCCAAUGCAGUGCUGCAGGGAAGCCGUUAAGUUUGCCGCCUGGGAAGUACGUACGCAAGUAUGAAACUUAAAGGAAUUGGCGGGGGAGCAC
rnacentral:rRNA from 2 species